rnacentral:misc_RNA from 1 species
GUCUAGAUUAAUUGGGAACAUUGGAAAAAUUCAAGAUAAUUUUCUGCAAAUUUGGGGUUUGGAGUUGACUAAGAUGUGGGAUAUACCAAUGGCGAAGGGAAGUGUCUGUGUGUGUUGGAUAAGCCAAAGAAAGGAUAUUCAUUCCAGUUCAUUCUUUUUCUGGGUUUGUGAGAAAAUGGAUUCUUUUCUGUAUGUACCUGAACUAAAACAUGACUAGAGACGCACAGUUCAAACCAUUUUUAAUAG